GAACGAGAAAGGGGCUUCGGCCCUGAGUAAAGUGGCGCACGGGUGAGUAACACGUGGGUAACCUGCCUCUAAGAUUGGGAUAACUCGUCGAAAGAUGAGCUAAUACCAGAUAAGACCACAGCUCCUGCGGGGACAGGGGUCAAAGAUAGCCUAUGCCUGCAAGCUAUCACUUAGAGAUGGGCCUGCGUACCAUUAGCUAGUUGGUAGGGUAACGGCCUACCAAGGCAAAGAUGGUUAGCUGGUCUGAGAGGAUGAUCAGCCACACUGGAACUGAGACACGGUCCAGACUCCUACGGGAGGCAGCAGUGGGGAAUAUUGCGCAAUGGGCGAAAGCCUGACGCAGCAACGCCGCGUG
rnacentral:rRNA from 1 species